AUGCAGACAAUUAGUGUGUUGUUGUGGGCGAUGGUGCUGUUGGUAAAACAUGUCUCCAGAUAUCCUACACAACAAACAAAUUUCCAUCGGAAUAUGUUCCGACUGUUUUUGACAAUUAUGCAGUCACAGUUAUGAUUGGUGGAGAACCAUAUACUCUUGGGCUUUUUGAUACUGCAGGGCAGGAGGAUUAUGACAGAUUACUACCACUGAGUUAUCCACAGACAGAUGUAUUUCUAGUCUGUUUUUCAGUGGUCUCUCCAUCUUCAUUUGAAAAUGUGAAAGAAAAA
rnacentral:lncRNA from 10 species